rnacentral:rRNA from 1 species
AGUAAAAGUCGUAACAAGGUCUCCGUUGGUGAACCAGCGGAGGGAUCAUUACUGAGUUUACGCUCUACAACCCUUUGUGAACAUACCUACAACUGUUGCUUCGGCGGGUAGGGUCUCCGCGACCCUCCCGGCCUCCCGCCUCCGGGCGGGUCGGCGCCCGCCGGAGGAUAACCAAACUCUGAUUUAACGACGUUUCUUCUGAGUGGUACAAGCAAAUAAUCAAAACUUUUAACAACGGAUCUCUUGGUUCUGGCAUCGAUGAAGAACGCAGCGAAAUGCGAUAAGUAAUGUGAAUUGCAGAAUUCAGUGAAUCAUCGAAUCUUUGAACGCACAUUGCGCCCGCCAGCAUUCUGGCGGGCAUGCCUGUUCGAGCGUCAUUUCAACCCUCAAGCUCUGCUUGGUGUUGGGGCCCUACAGCCGAUGUAGGCCCUCAAAGGUAGUGGCGGACCCUCCCGGAGCCUCCUUUGCGUAGUAACUUUACGUCUCGCACUGGGAUCCGGAGGGACUCUUGCCGUAAAACCCCCCAAUUUUCCAAAGGUUGACCUCGGAUCAGGUAGGAAUACCCGCUGAACUUAAGCAUAUCA